AGAACAGAAUAUUAUUACGUUGUCUAUAUAUACCCUGUAGAACCGAAUUUGUGUGGUAUUCACAUAGUCACAGAUUCGAUUCUAGGGGAAUAUAUGGUCGAUGCAAAAACUUCACAUUUCCU
rnacentral:precursor_RNA from 13 species